CUCCUACCCAUACCACUACCCCUACUAUCAUCACUACCCUUAUUACCAGCAUUACUAAACAAACCCUCGCCCUAAAAUCACCUUUUUUCCAACCCCAUCCCACCCUUCCACUGACUUCCUACUAGACACCCCCUACCCUACCCUACCCAACACCACCUUCUCCCUUCUGUUUCUUUCUUUUUUUUUUUUUUUUGCUCCGCUCCAUUCUAGACCCUGACCCCUCGCCCCCCCCUCCUAAGCAGAGAAGCUGCCACUUCUCCUGUCACGAUCACUGCCUCCACCAUCAUGGCAGCCAGCAGCAGCAGCAGCAGUAGUAGUAGAUAUUCGUACCGCUCUCUUUAUUUUCUGACCUUCCUCCACGCCGCCUACCACCCGACCCCUGACCUCUGUACCCUUUUCCCUAUUGACCUCUCCCCCUAAAGCAAAUUUAUCAAGUAGACCAAUAUGAUGCAAUUCCACAAUUUAGACUAACAGAACUACGAACCCUGUACUUAGUCCAUAUUGCCAUUAUUUUCGUCCCAUCUUACCAGUUCUACACUGUCGGUUUGAAACAAAGCUACCAUCUCUAUACGGCGACGUUGGACGAAAUUAUUUUUUCAAGCUUUCGACAUAAAAGAAAUUUUAAAAGGCAAAAACGAUAAAAAAAACAGAAAACGGAACAAAGAAGAAAAGAAACAAACAAACACCUUUACAUUCAUUUGUUGUCUCCUAUUUUUUUUUUCUUCGUCUUCUUCUUUUGAAUGAAGAAGAGGAAGAAGAAGAAAACGCAAAAUGAUGAAAUGUAAAAGAAAGAUUGAGAAAAUAAAAUGAAUUCAAAAUGCAUCAAUAGACAAAGAUUAA